rnacentral:rRNA from 1 species
GAGUUUGAUCCUGGCUCAGAAUCAACGCUGGCGGCGUGCCUCAGACAUGCAAGUCGAACGCGAAAGUUCCCUUCGGGGAGCGAGUAGAGUGGCGCACGGGUGAGUAACACGUAGGUAAUUUGCCUUUGGGUGGGGAAUACCAACCGGAAACGGUUGUUAAUACCGCAUAAUGCAGCGGCAUCACAUGAUGACAGUUGUUAAAGCGGGGGCUUCGUAAGAACCUCGCGCCUGAAGAGAAGCCUGCGGCAGAUUAGGUAGUUGGUGAGGUAAUGGCUCACCAAGCCUGCGAUCUGUAACCGGCCUGAGAGGGCGGUCGGUCACACUGACACUGACAUACGGGUCAGACUCCUACGGGAGGCAGCAGUCGGGAAUUUUGGGCAAUGGGCGAAAGCCUGACCCAGCAACGCCGCGUGAAGGAUGAAAUUUUUCGGAAUGUAAACUUCGCAAGAAUGGGAAGAAUAAGUGGGGGACAAUACCCCCCAUGAUGACGGUACCAUUUGUAAGCUCCGGCUAACUUCGUGCCAGCAGCCGCGGUAAUACGAGGGGAGCAAGCGUUGUUCGGAUUUACUGGGCGUAAAGGGCGCGUAGGCGGCUCUACAAGUCACUUGUGAAAUCUCCGGGCUUAACUCGGAACGGUCAAGUGAUACUGUCGAGCUAGAGUGCANAANGGGCAAUUGGAAUUCUCGGUGUAGCGGUGAAAUGCGUAGAUAUCGAGAGGAACGCCAGAGGCGAANGCNGAUUGCUGGGCUGACACUGACGCUGAGGCGCGAAAGCUAGGGGAGCGAACGGAAUUAGAUACCCCGGUAGUCCUAGCCUUAACGAUGAAUGCUUGGUGUCUCGGGUUACAUAGUCCCGGGGUGCCGUCGCUAACGCUUUUAGCAUNCGCCUGGGAGUACGCACGCAAGUGUGAACUCAAGAAUUGACGGGACCNCACANCGUGAACNUGUGNUUAUUCGACNCACNCGANACUUACUAGUCAAANGCUUNAAACUUAAAAUNGGCUUUGGUAACAACAAAUCANGGUCAGGUNCUCCUCNNUCNGAAUUGGUAUCCCACACCACUU